AACAAAUAAAACACACACACAUACAUCCAUCUAUACACACAUAUAUUUUGCACUACAGAUGGACUUUCCAACAAAAUUUGGCCACUAAUGAGGUUCUCACCAUGAACACCCAGACCACACAGUUCGUUCCCAGCCCCCACAUCAGAUCUAUCAUCUCACCCCCUCCCAUUCGAGAACAUGUGUUAAGCCCAUGUAUGGGAAUGUAAGGUGGGCUGUGGAGAAACUCUCCUGGGGUUUGUGGUGCGAUAGCACCUGUAAACUUCCAGUACUGUGUGGGUGUCAUAGCCAUCAGUCAGUCAGAGGUAACUAAGCAUGAGCCCAAGAGCUACAGCACUGAGGAACAGCAAGAACCGGCAAUCAGCAACUACAGACAAUUCUGUACAUCUGUACUUUACAUCCAACAGGUCUCAAAACAACAUCUCAAAACUAAACACACCAAAACACCAUCAACCACUGCAGGAUAUCUCAAAUAGGCCUACACACUGCCAGUCUAUAUAUAAUAUGGUGCUGAAUGAUUAUUAAAUAAACGUUAGGAAAUUUAUAUGGCGCUUAAAUGUUUUUCAAAUGAUAACAUGUUAUACAAUAAAUAAAUAUAUAAAACACACCCUUCAAUAUAUCAAUAAUCAAAAUAACAUCCUUGAAAAAAAGGUAGUGUUACAGUACCGUGGUACAGUGAUGCUCUCAGGUGGUCAUAUAAAGCAUAGUUCAGAGCAUCCCAUGGUGAAUGUCCAUAAAAUUGGUAAAAGCAUGAUUUCCCAAAGCAGGGUUUGUUUUGUUCUAAAUGUGUGUUCAAAAUAAAAUAACUGCAC
ensembl:lncRNA